UCGGGAAUAUUGGACAAUGGGCGCAAGCCUGAUCCAGCAAUACCGCGUGUGUGAAGAAGGCCUGCGGGUUGUAAAGCACUUUCAGUUGGGAAGAUAAUGACGUUACCAACAGAAGAAGCACCGGCUAACUCCGUGCCAGCAGCCGCGGUAAUACGGAGGGUGCAAGCGUUAAUCGGAAUUACUGGGCGUAAAGCGUGCGUAGGCGGCUGAUUAAGUCAGAUGUGAAAGCCCCGGGCUUAACCUGGGAACUGCAUCUGAUACUGGUCAGCUAGAAUGUGGGAGAGGAGAGUGGAAUUUCCGGUGUAGCGGUGAAAUGCAUAGAGAUCGGAAGGAACACCAGUGGCGAAGGCGGCUCUCUGGACCAACAUUGACGCUGAGGCACGAAAGCGUGGGUAGCAAA
rnacentral:rRNA from 1 species